GGUUUUCAAAACCCCCUUUCACCUAAACCCACCAUUGAUCCGUGAGAGAGACUUGGAGAGCACUCGAAAGAAGGAGAAAAAGAAGAAGAAGAAAAAGGAGAAGAAUGACAGGAAAUCCAGACAUCGGUGCAUGCUAGAGUGGAAGCUCUUGCAGUGGGGAAGUUAUCACUAAACUUGAUGGGUUUUAGCAGCGUGGCCAUUUCUAUUUUUGGAAAUCAGAUCAGCAUUACAAUCCAGAGCCGUCGGCCGUUCACGCAAUCUAUACUUCUCACGGUGGAAUAUCUCAACACUGCAACACUUGGGCCUAAAAAAGAUUACAAAUCAAGUAGGUUGCUUAAGUUACGAAAUCUGGAGAUAAUAUGAGGUGACACAAAUGAUGGACGGGUUGGAUGGCCUUCAUACAUCACAUGGCCCCAACUCUGUUUUGAGCGCAAUGAAUCGAGAAUACACUGUAAGUGAGUUCAGAACUGUGGUAGAUACUUUGAAUCAACUGGUACCUGAAAUACAGAUUGCAACAGAUAUAAUUUGCAGAUUCCCAGGUAUGUUACCACU